UUUUGCAUUCGGCUUAUUUUUCAAAAUGCCAUUACCGACGGCAUGCAAUAAGUGGGUUUUACCUAGGCCGGUGCCACCAUA
rnacentral:antisense_RNA from 1 species